GCCCUAAUUUUCUUGGGAAAGUUUUAAGAUCGUCUGAAAAGCAACCAUCUUCUUUCCUAGCCCUUAACUGACUUGUGCAGGCUUUUCCUGGCCUUUCCAACUGCAGUGUGAAGGGGAUUGUUUGUUUUCUUUUUAAAUGUUAUCCUGCCUGCCUCCUCUUUUUUAACAAAACUUUACGUGAAGACUCACUGUGUAUCGAGCACGGCACAUGGAUGGAGUGGCUGCUUUGAACUACUUUCGCAACAAUGGAUUCUGCUUGACUGAUAAUGAAACCAUGGGAUAGACCUCAGGGAGGCUCGCUUUCCAUGGGAGGAGGUGAUCCUGCUGGGCUGCCACGUGCCACUCCGGCCAGGGUCUGUGCCUGGAGCCCUGGGCGCGAUGCUCUGAUCUUACUGGGGAGAAGGAGCCGGCUUCGCGCCAUCAGCCAAAGAAUCUCAUAACCGCGGCUCUCUGAGCACUGAAGUGGAUCCAGAGCCUCAAAUAAACCGAGAGGAGGUGCUGAGGGGACAGGCGACAAGAGCAGGUUUGUUUUUCUUGGGCCUGCAAUUAGUUGAAUGGGCAUUUUCUUCCCCUGCGUGGUAUGUGUGUGAGUGGCGUGGUGCAAAGCACCUGAUUAAACCUUGGCCUUUGGAUCUAAGCACUCCUUUCAGAUUGGAUUGUGAGCCAAUGCAAAAUCCGAUUUAGGCAAUGGAAAGUUAAUAAACUUCAUAUCAUCUGGGCAGGUGAGUUGAGACGCUUAUUUCGUGUGCGUGUUUGCUUCAGCGAGUUUUCUCUGCACCACGAAAAUGCCAAAAAAUGGCUCAAACUCUGAAACAGAAGUGUCACAGCAGCCAGGUGGGUUGGCCGUCUCCACCAGGUGUGAAGACACUCACGGGUGCACGUCGGUGGUGGUGUUCGAGGCAGCAGUGAAUACAAAUAGGAGGCGAGGCUUUUCAAAG
rnacentral:lncRNA from 1 species